CAGGCCUAACACAUGCAAGUCGAGCGCCCCGCAAGGGGAGCGGCAGACGGGAGAGUAACACGUGGGAACGUACCCUUUGGUUCGGAACAACCCAGGGAAACUUGGGCUAAUACCGGAUAAGCCCUUACGGGGAAAGAUUUAUCGCCGAAGGAUCGGCCCGCGUCUGAUUAGCUAGUUGGUGGGGUAAUGGCCCACCAAGGCUACGAUCAGUAGCUGGUCUGAGAGGAUGAUCAGCCUCACUGGGACUGAGACACGGCCCAGACUCCUACGGGAGGCAGCAGUGGGGAAUAUUGGACAAUGGGCGCAAGCCUGAUCCAGCCAUGCCGCGUGGGUGAUGAAGGCCCUAGGGUUGUAAAGCCCUUUCGGCGGGGAAGAUAAUGACGGUACCCGCAGAAGAAGCCCCGGCUAACUUCGUGCCAGCAGCCGCGGUAAUACA
rnacentral:rRNA from 1 species